rnacentral:misc_RNA from 1 species
GCUACUCGAGGGCUUUUCCUUAUGUUCUGCAUGUUUCGCCUAAGUCUUGCCAAGCUACGCCACAUCUUAUAUAUGGUGUUUGGAUAACUGGAAAAAUAAUCUUUGCCGGAUAUGGGGAGUGGGUUUUGUAGCUAGCUAGGUUUUCAUGAUUACCAGGAUUGGAAGGGAAGGGAAGGGAAGGCAAAGGCAGCUUUUUGAAGAAACAAGAAAGCUUUAUGAUAAUGGCAACUUGGGGGGUGGUGGUGGUGUUG